rnacentral:rRNA from 1 species
AGUGAACGCUGGCGGCAUGCCUUACACAUGCAAGUCGAACGGCAGCACGGGGCGACCUGGUGGCGAGUGGCGAACGGGUGAGUAAUACAUCGGAACGUGCCCAAUCGUGGGGGAUAACGUAGCGAAAGUUACGCUAAUACCGCAUACGAUCUACGGAUGAAAGCGGGGGAUCGCAAGACCUCGCGCGAGUGGAGCGGCCGAUGUCAGAUUAGGUAGUUGGUGGGGUAAAGGCUCACCAAGCCAACGAUCUGUAGCUGGUCUGAGAGGACGACCAGCCACACUGGAACUGAGACACGGUCCAGACUCCUACGGGAGGCAGCAGUGGGGAAUUUUGGACAAUGGGCGCAAGCCUGAUCCAGCCAUUCCGCGUGCAGGAUGAAGGCCUUCGGGUUGUAACUGCUUUUGUACGGAACGAAACGGCGGGCUCGUAAUACAGUUUGUCUAACUGACGGUACCGUAAGAAUAAGCACCGGCUAACUACGUGCCAGCAGCCGACGGU